UACGACUACAUAUCAGGCAUAUCAAUAAGCGGAGGAAAAGAAACUAACUAGGAUUCCCUUAGUAACGGCGAGUGAAGCGGGAAGAGCUCAAAUUUGAAAUCUUCAAGGUUCUACCUUGACGAAUUGUAGUUUAAAGAAGUGUUUUCUGUUGGAGUUUUGGUAAAAGUUCUUUGGAAUAGGACAUCAUAGAGGGUGAGAAUCCCGUAUUUGACCAUUUCUUCCAGCUGUGUGAUACACUUUCAAAGAGUCGGAUUGUUUGGGAAUGCAGUCCAAAAUGGGUGGUAAAUUUCAUCUAAAGCUAAAUAUUGGCGAGAGACCGAUAGCGAACAAGUACCGUGAGGGAAAGAUGAAAAGAACUUUGAAAAGAGAGUUAAACAGUACGUGAAAUUGUCAAAAGGGAAGCGUUUGACACCAGUGUUGUUUUCUCGAAAAUCAAUUAAAAAUGGUGGGAUUUUCGUGUUGUAUUGACUUUAUCAGCUUUCUGCACUUUUUUCCUGUCUUUUUUAAUGCACUUUUCGUUUAACAAGUCAACAUCAAUUUCUUUUGUUGUAAAAGAGUCAUUGGAAGGUGGCUUUCACUUCGGUGAAAGUGUUUAUAGCCUUUGACUUCUGCAAUCGGAGAGAUUGAGGUCUGCAGCGUAGAUCCUUCGGGGUUAGAUACAUUUGUGCUAAGUUAUAGUUUUUCAUAGACAACAUGUUGACUAUGAUUAAUCAUGUGGCUUACUCGCUUAUGCUAUUUUACCUACGCUUAGGAUGUUGACGCGCGUGUGUGCGUG
rnacentral:rRNA from 1 species